rnacentral:rRNA from 1 species
ACCUACGGGGCGCAGCAGUAGGGAAUCUUCCACAAUGGGCGAAAGCCUGAUGGAGCAACGCCGCGUGGGUGAAGAAGGUCUUCGGAUCGUAAAACCCUGUUGUUAGAGAAGAAAGUGCGUGAGAGUAACUGUUCACAUUUCGACGGUAUCUAACCGGAAAGCCACGGCUAACUACGUGCCAGCAGCCGCGGUAAUACGUAGGUGGCAAGCGUUACCCGGAUUUAUUGGGCGUAAAGGGAACGCAGGCGGUCUUUUAAGUCUGAUGUGAAAGCCUUCGGCUUAACCGGAGUAGUGCAUUGGAAACU